UACGUAGGGGGCAAGCGUUGUCCGGAAUCAUUGGGCGUAAAGAGCGUGUAGGCGGUCCGGUAAGUCGGCUGUGAAAGUCCAGGGCCUACCACCGGUGGAUGCCGGUCGAUACUGCCGGACUAGAGUUCGGAAGAGGCGAGUGGAAUUCCCGGUGUAGCGGUGAAAUGCGCAGAUAUCGGGAGGAACACCUAUGGCGAAGGCGGCCAACUGGACGAAAUACUGACGCUG
rnacentral:rRNA from 1 species